UACCGUGCCACUUGGCAAAACAUCAAAAACACCAAAGAACCGUAUUAGUAGACCCGGCAUCUGCCGGGGUCGAAAGUUCGGUUCAGUGCAUACAA
rnacentral:sRNA from 12 species